rnacentral:lncRNA from 1 species
GGUACCUGAGCAUCCAUCAAGCUUGCAACAGCAAAUUUAUGUGUAUCUUUUGGGUUAAAUUUGAUUUGAUAUGCUACGCCAUGGGGGUCAAAUGUCCUGAUACACUCCCAGUCCUUGUUCCAGUCCCACAGCUUGAUCUGGUCUUGUGAGCCUACUGACAGUAGGUAAGGCUCAGUUGGAUGGACAUCCAAAGUUGUGAUGGUCCAACUCCAAGCAUGAGCUUUGAAUCUCUUCACUUGCUUUACUGGGGACUCAUAUGUGUAAACUCUUAUGAAACCAUCGUGAUGUCCAACCACGAACCAUUGCUUUCGCGCGAUGAACUUGGCUGCAGUAACUGUAGUGUUGGAGUGAGUAAAUCAGUUAGCAUUGCUGUGGCACAUGUACAAGUCUAUGCAUGGUUAGUAGUGAGUCAGAAGCAUGCCUAUUGGUCCAUAUGAGCCUUGAAUCAGGUUCCUUGUUUCCUGUGGACAAAUAUAUGGGCAAAUAUUAGUCCUUGAACAUCCAAAAGCAUAUUUCAACAUGCUAAAAUUGUAGGCAUGGAGAUAACUUUCAAUGAAUUUCACUCACAUAGGCAAACUUUACAACUUAUAACUUUUUUGUUGUCAUUGGCAGUUUUCUAAAUUUAUAGCGGGUAGUAUAUAUGCUUUUAGACAACAGAAUAUGUUUCUUUUUUUUUUACAUCACUGGCUUCUAUAUCAGAAAUAUACGCAAAUACCUGUCCCACCAAACAAACAUGUAACUAGCCGAUUACUGGACAAAAGUUUACGUCUAAAUAUUUGAAUUAAAAAAAAAGUUACACAAUUUUUUGCACGCCUGCUAGGACCUCACACUCCAUGUGUAGCCACCUUACUUUCUCACAUAUGAAGCAGUACCUCAUGACAACGAGAUAAAUGUUGUUCAUUUGACUUCACCUCUCCAAAACUUGUAGUGAGUAUUUGAUAGUACUGUACAACUUUGAGAGCAUGUCUCCAUCAACAGUAUUUGAAAAAAAUGAAGAAAAAUGUUUUUUAAAUAGAACUAAGAGCUCGUGAAGAAUAUUUGAUUCCCUAGAUGAAUUCAAAUAAAAAUAAACAUUUAACUAGAAAGUUUAAGAUAUCAUCGAGAGCUAUAAUUUUCGUACAAGUUUUCUUUUCAUCUGACGUAAUAUUAAAAGCUGUAAUUUUUUAUUGAAAUGUGGCCAUUCCUUAAGAGAAUCGCCGAUGAAAAUUGAACUUUAUGGGUGGCUUCUUAAGAGAAUCGCUUAUGAAAAUGUUGUAUUUUGUUCCAGGUUAUUUCCAAAGAAAACCGCAUGUGAAAUUUUUUCCCUUAUUAUUUGAAAAUGACUUGAUUUUGAAAAUUAAUAGAAAAUAUAUUUUAAGUCCAACUAAAGUGACCCAAAGCUCUCUGUGAUACUUAAUAUUUCCUUUAAUAUGAUCAGAUCAAAAGUAUUCUAAUAUGGUUCCUUACUUAUUAAAAGUUACCUCUAUGUGAGUUGACAUAUUAUAUAUCUUAAGUGAAUGACUAUAUCCAAGGAAAUAUUGACCACAUCUUAUUAAAGGAAAUACUGUAGGGGUCUCAGAUAAUUUUUGGUUCACCUCAAUCAGAUUUAAAAUGAUUUUAAUGUGAAUUUUGAAAGUUUGGCCACUUUAAAAGAAUAAGAAAAAAAAAGGAUAUGACGGUUCGUAACGAAUGUUUGAGACAUUAAAAGAUCUCAAAUGAAAAAACAUCAAACUACAAAAUUGUAUUUUCCGUAAAGAGAUAUAAUUAUAAUAUAAAGUUUGUUCUCAUCCACUUCAUAAGAAAAAAAAGUGAUUUUUUAAAUAGGACCCUUGCCAUUUUUAUAGGCGGUUAACAAAUAGAUCUGAGACCUUAUGAUGAAUGGUUGAGCCCCUAACAAUAUCAAUAUCAAAUUAAGGCAACUAAAAAGUUGUACAUAUUGUCAACAGCUAAACUUUUCAUAUGAAAAGAUUGUUCUGAUCCGACUUCAUACGGAAAGAUUGCGAUUUUGUUUACGGAAAAAGAGUCAUUUCCUUUUUAUAGGCAGUUAAUAAAUAUAUCCAGGACCUUGUAAUGAAUGUUUGAGCUACUAAACAAUCUCAAAUGAAAAAAAAUUCAACUACAAUGUAGAUCUCAUUGGGAGCUAUAAUUUUCAUAUAAAGUUUAUUCUCAUCUAACUUAAUAUUAAAAAAAUGACUUUUUUUAUUAAAAUAGAGUUGUUUACAUUUUUACAGUUAGUUUCUUAAGAGAUCAGUCCAUGAAAAUAAAUUUUUACAGGAGGUUUCUUAAGAAAGCUGCAAAUUGAAAUAAAUUGAUGUACUACCUCAUAAAAUCACCUAAUUUUCAUAGACGGUUUUCUUAAGGAAUAAUAUGUGGAAAUGUGUUUUAACAGGCAAUUUUAAACUAUAAGGCCAGGCUUCUUGCCAUUAUUCCACCUAUAAAAUAAAGAAAGGGUGCCCACGAAAAUAUUUUUUAAAAGUAGUGAUUGAAAUGGGUUUUUUCUUAUAUGAUCCUUAAGGAGGUUCUGUGAGAUACCAUACCAUUUUAUUUUUACAUGUGCCUUUGGUAUUUUCCUUGUAUAGCGGUAGCACAAAUUAACAGUAAAGUAGCAUAUGCAGCUUACCAAGAGUAAUAACUUACAAGCGUAUUAUAGUUCAAGAUGUCAACUGAGCCAAACAUAUUGCUCGUCAAGAUCCUGUGUACAUAAGAAGAAAUUUACUUAUAGUAAAAGCUAUAGUAACAGACAUUUUACAGCUGCUUCAAAAAAGAUAGAAAUGUAGUAGUGUUCAAAGAAAUUAAAAGAUAAACAGAUAUCUGGCCCUGAUUUUGUGGACCCUAACUUUAUUAUAGAAUAAGCGCAUAACCAAGUAAAAGAACUUACAUAAGGAAAAAGAUAAUGAGAAAACAUGACCAUUGUUUUAGUCAUUUCUCCUCUACUUCCCUUUUUCAAAAUAAAAAAAAUAAAAAAACAUAACCAUUCUUUUUUAGAAUUAAACAUAACCAUUGUUAAAUCAAAAUUUACGUAUCAGCGUAUGUUCCCACAAAUUUUUAUUUUUGUUUUAGGUCUAAAAUAAUAUGGGAUCAUGCUAAUUGCCAAGUGUAGUUAACAUGAAAGUAGUGAACUAAUACACGAACAAUUUGUCCUUUUCUUUUGGAUAUAAACACAAAUCUUCGUUUCAUUUGUUAUUAUGGAAAAAAAACUAGAACAUAUGCAGUUUAUCUCCUCUUAGAACCAAAAAAGAAAGACUAUUCACAUACCAUGGUUCCGAUGGAUGCACAUCUAUUGGAAAAUCAGGAUGUUCCAUUGGGAUGAUCUGAUCAAAUGACACAUCGACUGAAGUUAACGAAAUAAUAAAAUGAAUGGGUUUUCAAAUGUUAUAAAAGUAUGCAACAUGCAUGGUUUUGGUGAUACAAAAACAACUAAAACUUAUUUCACCUGAUCUUCCUCUCGGUCCUCCUCUUUCUCUUUGGAACAAGAACUGUUAUGGUGAUCGGCUUCAUGAUUUUCUUUGGUCUCAUUUAAGUUCAAAUGGCUUGGCAAUUUGCUCUCAAGAGUGACAGACUCGUUGUUGUGUGAGGGUAGCUUCUCCAAGGCAUGGUCUAUCGGCAGCUAAAUGAGGUCCAAAUUAAUGAAGUUAAUAGAAAUUCUAUCAUUGGUGAAUAAAUAUGACUUUCAAAUAUAUAUGCAUGUUUUCCUCUCUGAGAAAAAAAAUGUAAAUAAUUAUUUUGUAGUAUAUAGUUAUAAAAUUGUACACUCAGCAUCGCAGGCAUGAAAAAUGAGCAAUAGUUAACAAGGUUGGACCUCGAUAACGCAUAUUAAAUUAUUAAAUAGAGCUUACUUCACAUGAUUUAGAGCAGGUUAGAUGGUACAAAACUGGAAUUGGUCAUUCCGUCAUUACACUUUUGAUUCCCUAAAAGGAUUACUCUCAUCAAAAUGCAGUUCCAAGAUGUAGGGGAAAUAGUGAAACAGAGGUUGUUGAUUCAUGGAAAUCACUAAUGAAACAAGGAAUAUAUUGUGAAAAUGAAUGUAAACUCAUCCCUUGAUACAUUAUAGUUUUUCUUAUCAAAUAGAUGACAAAUACGAUAAUGCCACAUCGGCAUAAGCAAAAUGAUUCCUCUGCAUUAUAUUCCUCCAGGAAGAACAUUGCGCUGUAGCCUUUUAUAAACAAAACACACGAUAGUAAUAAUUAAUUACCUCACCAAUGAUAGCUUCUUUCUCGUUAAUUUGAUUGAUGAUUUCCACUAUAUUAGGCCUAUUUUCCCUAUCAGUCUCCAUGCAUUUCAGCGCUAUCUCGGUGCAUGUCUUCACUUGCUGGCAAUAUGCUUCCAGUAGGGAACCAUUCCUUCCUGUCUCUAACCUAGUUUUCCAAUUCCCUAGUACCUGUGCAAUCAGAAUAAAAGAUGAAGUACUAUUCAAACGAAAUAAAAUAUUUCCUCAGUUCUAAAAUGUUUGAUGUUGGUUAGUUCAUUUUUAACUAACAAACGCCAUAAAAAAAUAAACAGAUUGAGAAGUUUAGUUAGAAAUAAAUAGGGAGUAGUUUAGUUAGAAAUAAACGUUGGUUCUGAACUCCUGAUUACUUGAUCGGUAAAUUCUUGAGAAGGAAUUUCGGUGCUUCUGAAGUGUCCUGUAGGUCCAGGUCCAGCAAUUAUCUCUAGCAUUACAACGCCCAAGCUGAAUAUGUCUAACUUGUUUGAUAUUUCUUUCCUCUCUAUGUAUUCUCGUGGCAGGUAUGGGCUGCACGGGGACAAAUAAUAUGAUGGAUUUCAUAUAAAUCACAUUUCUUAUUAUUAGAAAAGGAUACAUUCAAAUGAGUUAUAUAUUCAGCUUACAUUGUCCCAACAAGAGUUUUUGUAGUCAUGGUUUUGUCUUUAGUGAUGAACCUGGACAAACCAAAAUCUGCAAUUUUCGGCACCAUGUUGUUGUCUAGCAAAAUAUUGGCAGGCUUUAGGUCCAAAUGGUAAAUAGGUGGCUUCAUUUCCACAUGAAGAUGUUUUAAACCCUCACAUGUCCCUUUAAUAAUUUUGUACCGUAUAGGCCAAUCAAGACCAUCAACUUUAUCUGCAAAGGUAAACAAAAGAUAUAUCAAUAGAAUGCAAAUACACAUGACUAAUUUUCUUCCGAGCUGAAUAUGUACUCCAACCAGUUUCAUAAUACUUGCCGAGUUGUCAUUUUGGACAAGGAUGUGGUCUAAAAUAAAAUUUCUAAGUCAAACUUAUUAAGUUUGACCAAGAAAUAUAGCAAUAUUUCCAACACAAAACAUACUAUCAAAAUAUAUUCAAUGUUAGAUUUAAUAAAACUAAUUUGAUGUUGUAAAUGUUGUUAUAUUUUUCUGUAAACUUGAUCAACCUCAGAAAAGUUCGACUUAUGAAAAAGUCAAAGUGGCUUAUAAUAUAGAACGGAUGGAUUAUAAUAAAUAUAUAAUUUUAUUAAAGUAUCUUUCAAGAUUAAGCUAUACAUAUAUUUUCCAUGCUUCUUAAGUAAAUAUUUUAAAAUUUAUUCAUAGUCAAAGUUCAAAACAUUUUAACCUCGGCCUUAUCCAAAACGAUAGAUAUUAUGAAAUUAGGGGAGUAGUGGGACUUUGAGCAAUAUCAUACCAGAAAGAUAGUUUUCAAGGCUCCCCCGAGGCAUAUACUCGAAGCAGAGUGCUCUAUGUAUUGUUGCAACCAAAACUGGUCUUCCUUUGACUUGUCCAUGUGUAUGUUUUAUUUCAUAGCAGUAUCCAACUAACUGUACAAUGUUUGGAUGGUUGACCAUCAUAAGGUUCCCAAACUCAUUUUGUAAUUUCUUGUCGUCAAAAUCUUGCGUAUCAUGAAGAAUCUUUACUGCAAUUUUAUCUCCAUUUUUAUGCUUUCCCUAUUAAAGAUCUAGGGUCAGUACUCAAAACAUGAUAAGUUUGUGAUAACAUUUCACAAGCCGAAAAUGAAAGCAUCAGGCUCUGUUUGUUUUGUCAUCACACUUUUACUAGAACUAAGUUUCAUGCAACAAUAAAAUGUGGUGCAGGGUUGAUUGCUCACCUCAGUGUUAUAUGUGCAUGUAUUGCAGGCUUAUUAUUAUUUAGAAAUUAGAACCCACUACAAUGGUUUCACCAAUUAUUCACAGUAAAUUGGUGUUUACAUACCAAACUUGCCUUUAACUUACCUUGUAAACUGUUCCAUAUCCACCUUCACCAAGCUUUCGCUCCUCAGAGAAUCCAUCUGUAAUUUCUUCUAACAAUUGGUAUGCUACAUUAGUUGGAUUCAUAGCUGAAUUUGUAACUUGUCCGUUUUACCAAUAUCUCCUCUCUGUGUGAUGAGAAUAAAGAGUAAUAAGUUUCUGAGAAUAAAGAGUAAUAAUUUGGGUAAUUUUACUAUGCUUGAUAAGGUACUGGGAGAUGUUAUAUUUUCUAGUGUCAAACUUGAUACCUCCAGCUACCAUAUAUCUCAAAAUAAUAAAAUUUUGAUACUUACAAAUACUUUCUUAAAUACCGUAAAAUUUUCCUAAUAAUUUACUCGUUUUAUGAGAAGAGAAAGACUGGAGUUAACAGUAGCACUCUAAAUCUUGAACUGAAAUUUCUCAAAGCCUGGUUUAUGGCAUUGACUAAAUGUGAAUGAAGGGAUUAAAGAAAGUUCAAAAUGAGCCCCGAGAUAUGCAUCAUUUGGAGAAAAAUCAAGUGAAUUUCGACUAGUUUUCUUACUCCCAACAACUCACUUCGGAACUCAUAGCCACGGCAAUGUGUAAGAAUUUGAGUGAGUACUAGUGGAGAAAAUCCUAGCCUUGUAUUAAAAGGGAAAAAAAAGGAAAGAAAAAGAAAGACCAGCAGGCCAAGCUUGCUUAUCCAUCAACAGAGACACACCAUCAGUAACCAACAUUCCAUCAGACCAAUGUGAAUCAUGAAUCAAAUGUAAAAGCCCAAGCUAAUUAAGGAGCAAUUGAACAAACAGUACUGCCUGCACAGGAAUUGGAAGCAGUAAUUAAUUAAUUAAUUAGCACUAACCUGGAGAGAGAUAACUGAAGAUCGACCUAGCUUUCGAGAGGCUGGAGAGGAGAAAGUAGAGACGGGAUCAGGCUCAACUCAAUCUAUCGCAGGAGAUGAGAUGAGGAGAUGAUUAUAAACUGCAGUUUACGCCGGCGCCGUAGACGACGAGCCAGCUGUAACGCCGGAUUGCUUGACUGAUUGAUUGUACCUUCUGAUGAUCAGUUCAUGGACCACGAUCGAGCAAGUUGAAAUUAAGGACAUCUAGGGCACGCGUAUACAGUACAGUUAUCUUGUCCAAACCUGCAUGCUUAUUCUAGCUUGCUAUUCCCUCAAGUCCCAUUUUAAGUAUAGUUGUGGGUUUCUAUGUCCAAUGUUUAAUCAUUUGUCUUAUUUAAAUUUUUUUUUAAAAAAAAUAAGUUAAGCAUAAAGUAUUAUUCAUGUUUUAUCAUCUAAUAAUAAUAUAGAUACUAAUCAUAAAAAAAUUUAAAUAAGAUGAACGGUUAAACGUUGGACAAUAAACCCACAAUUGUAUUUAAAAUGAGACGGAUGGAGUACGGAUUAGUAGUGGUCAUUGGCCAAGAAAAUCCGUAGUGCCAAAGGAUGAGAUGGCUAGGUGGGGAUAAUUCUGUUCUCUAUGGAAUCCUAGAUUUGUCACCAGGUGUACCUUUUUGUUUUAGGAAUAAAAACCACUCCUGACAAGUUUGCCGAAAACAGACCGACGUCUGAUGGAAGCAGUAAAAACCGAUGACUUUUGAUCAAAAUAAUUACCCACAGCCCAACAUUGCAUGGCUCGUGAGUUGUGAUAUAUACAGGGCCCAGGGACAGGGACAGAGCUAGAACGAAAUGGUGAAGGAUGGCACUUACUUUACUCUACUUUAGACUAAUUUUAGACUGAUAUGAACACUUGAGUUUGGAUUGAGGUGGUGCAUAUAUGAUGAAAAUAGACGAAUUAUAGCUAAAAAUAUUUUCUUGAUCAGAUUUCUAGGCACCCCCUCUUCUACCUAGCUUCACCCCUGAAAAUAUGGCAAGCCUAAUUUACUCUGCUGAAAAAGGACGGUACUACUAUCAGGGACGGGAGAUCAUGAUUUUAGAAAUACCUCAUGGUUUAAGCCUUAAAUUGAAAAAAUAUAUCUUAUUUAAUUUUUCAUCGAUAAGAUAUUAGUGUAAUGUUUGAAUACCACUAUCAAAAAUUAUGUGCCCGCUCUGAUACUACUAAGAAAUAGGAAAAUGCAUAUCACAUUCACAUAUGGUUGCAUCGGUGCUGCUACUAGUAGCUAGUGGAAGUUGACCGUCGACGUUGAGCAAAGCGUGUGGGCUGCAGGACUUGGAUUGGACGGUCCAAGAAGACGACCGGCCUAACAUAACAGCGACUGCAGCAGCAGCCAACAAGCAGCUGCUCUCUGCAGCAGUGUGUACAUACAUUCAAAAUAAAACAACUGCUGUAGGAUUUUGGGCUGCAGCCGAUCGGCUGGGCUGGACAGCUGCAGCCCAAAAUGCCGCAGGCAGCUGAACCGAUCAGCCCUUGUAUUAAUUGGAUGGGUUGGGCCUAUUACUUACUCCCUCCAUCUUAAAAGACAGUCAUGAGUUUUUUGUCUAAUUUUGAUGGUUCGUUUUAUUUAAAAAAAAUAGUAUUUUUGUUGUUAUUAGAUGAUAAAACAUAAAUAGUAUUUUAUUUGUGACUUAUGUUUUUUAAAUUUUUUCAAAAAAAGUUAAAUAAAACGAAUAAUUAAAAUUGAAUACGGAAACUUAUAGCUACGCUUAAAAUGAGACGAAGGGAGUAGUUGGAAGUAUCUGUUGACUUCCUAUUUACCUCACGGGAUAACUUCUUUCACUGAUUGAAGGGCUUGUAAUGGCUUACUACAAGAGACACAAAGGUAACCUCAAGAAGACCGUCACUAGCUGCAACUAAUAGUAUGGCUACUUGUCGAAUAAAAAAACUAAAGAAACUGGAAUGUCCGAAUACCAUUCGUAACCCAAAUCAAAGAACUCGACCCCAGGUUCAUUUUCCCUUGCCUUUUCCUUAAAUACUAGUAUGAUUUUGAGGAAGAAAUUUUGUUGUAAUCUGUGAUCACUUUUGUAUUUGAGUAUCAUACAGAUGUCUAUCAGAAUCUCUGCUACCACAAAAAAAAACUUUAGUGGUGGUGGUGAGUCGUGAACAAUCCAACGGUUGAAUAUUUUCCUAGGAUCCUUGUCAUCACCGCACCAGUCAACGCCCCUCCCAGAGCCAUGGGCGGUGGAAAUCCUAGCUCCCAAAGUUGGCGUCAUUGUCGCAGGCGCCACCGCUGUCACCGCAGCUCCCCGCACCGGAUCUAUCAUCGUCAAGGUCAUCCACAUCGCUGAGGUCCCAGUGCCUAAUCCGCCGCCGUUGAGCUCCCCAUCGAAUUCAGCGGGUCCCUUAAGGAGGCGCUUGCGAAAAUCAGAUUCUUACAUAUGGCUUCUUAUGAGGCCCACUUGCGAAAAUAACUUUAUUUUUAUGUAUGGUCUCAUAAGAUGACCACAUUUUAGCAAGCGUGACUUGACCCACCCCGGGUAACUGAUUGUUGCAUGUGGACGACCAUUACAGCUCGCCUAGAACCUGUAGUGGGCCUCGUCCGCAAAAAUCAAUUCUGUUGAUAGAUAUAGAAACAAUGCUCUACUGAAGUACAACUUUUACAUACACAUAUGAGCUAACUAACAGGAGGGCCAAUGGGUGCGUUGUUGAUAAAUACAUUAUUUUUCCGUUGCAAGAGCACCCAGAAAUACACCAUAUCUCUGUAAAAAAGAAGUUCUAAAACAAAUAAAAUAAAACCGUAGAGAGGAACCCGAUGAUAUAUAAAAUCAAGGAAACUUGUCCUACUUGAUACUAGAUGAAGAACACCGACAGUGCGUCGAGCAGAUCGUCGGUGAUCUCCUCAUCCUCCUCCUUGUCCACGACCCAGUCCAACGCCAUGGCUUUGUGCAAGUCUUCCAGAUCACGGGGGAUGUAGGUGGCAGUGAGCACCUCCUCUGACUUGGUCUCUCUAUCGCUACUCGCAUCUGCGCCACCGAUCUCCUCUUCCAUUCUAGGGUUUCGUGGAUGGGGUCGAAGCACGGCGGGGGGUUAGGGAAAGCAAGUUUUCGAAAUCUUGACACGAGGAAAGUGGGUGGGAGACGUAGAAGAAAAGCAAGGGACUCUCUCUCUCUGGGCCGGACCGGUAUGGCCCACUAGAGUAGCGAGACACAAGGCCCAAUAAGCGCCAAGUUUUUUCUUUCUCUCUCUUCCUCUCUUGAUCGACUAUGGAAAUCAAAGCGCCGUUUGUUCCAUUUUUACAUGCGCAAUCACAACAAUGUUUAUUUUGCUUUAGGGUAAGUACAAAUGAUAUGGACUUUUAGUUAAUACUCAUGUAGAGGAUAUCAUUCUACAAUAAUUGAGACAACAAAACCUUUUAUAACCAUUAAUGCACCAAUAUAAUCUUUUAUUACUCUUCUUUCCUUUUCACAACCCCAAAUGUUUCCUUUAAUAUAUGCUAAGAGUCGAUUGUAAGCCAUGAUUAUACAUAGCAAUGAUAUUUCUCUUCGUUUUCUUCUCUCUUCUAUGUUACCAAAUUUAUUUGCGUGGCAAUGGAGAGAGACCGUCAAUAAACAUCAUUGUACAUACCAUUAAGAUGAUGGAAAUUAUCCUUCAUCACCAAUCUGAUGGAAAAUAUAUCUCUCUAUAUCUCUACUUAAAAAUGGAGUCAUCAUCCUUCAGUCAUAUCCUUCCACCGUGUGCAUGCACGCGUGUGUAUAUACAUAGCCAUUAGAUCUAAUGUUUUAUUCACAACCACACUUAUAUGGACCUGGCCCGUUACAACGCAGGGGCAUGUUGAUAGUAUACUAAGUGGAGUCGUCUUUUCCCCAACAUCGUACUUUCGCAAAUAAAAGACUUGCUAAAAACCAUCUCAUCUUAAAAAAAACAAUAGUGUUUUCUCUACUCCUUUUAAAACAGAGUUGUUUUCCUCCUUCCCAACCAUCUUAGUUUCCCAAAUAAAAAACCGUCUCAAAAAACCACCUCAUCCAAAAAAUACAACUUCAAAAAUGGAGUUGUCUUCUUCCUUCCCCACAAUCCUACUCUCCUGAAUUAAAAAAACCAUCUCAAAGAAACCACCUUAUAAAGAAAAUGACAAUGUUUUCUAUACUACUAAAAAGUGGAGUCGUUUUCAUCCUUCCCAAUCAUCGUAGUUCCCCAAAUAAAAAAAACCACCUCAUCCAAAAAAGAAACCAUAUUUGCACGCGAAAAUCAACCAAAAAACUAGAUUAAAAAAACAAAACCCUAUAAUUCCAAUCUUUUUUUCAUCCCUUCUCCCACCGCACGCGUAGCACAUCCAUCCUCUCCUUCUCGUAUUGUGUGCACAACCAAUGCAUGAAUAGACCACGUGCCAUGUCUUUUGAUUUUAUAUUUUCAUUUGGUAUCAAUAAUUUGGUUUUCUGAAUUGGUAUCGGAUUUGAGUUUUUUAACUGGUAUCAAGAUUUAAUUUGAUAUUUUUUUUCAUUAGCAUAAAUAAUAUAAAGUUGUGUGUGUUGGUUUCCAAUUGGUAUAUCAUGUUACACACAACACACCUCAUGAAUGCAAAGAGAUAGGAGGAGCUCUGGCAUUUCUCAUAAAUACGUGCAUAUGAGUUUCACUUCACAUGUCCAUAAUAACAUUUAGGAGGUGCUCAAACUAACCUUUUCGGAUUCAAAGUCAAAUAUUAUCAAUUUGUUUGUAAACUUUAAUCGUGUUGUCAUCAACAAACACCGUAAAAUAGAUGGAAAUUGCAAGUGCAUCUAGGCCCCAUAUUGGAUUAUGGCUAAUUGAUGACAACAUUCCAUCAAGAUUCUACUUAUGCUGGUAAUCUGAAUUCACCCAUAGACAUAUCCCUUUAACUGAGAGAACAACAUAUUUGAAUACCAGAUGACUCCGUGGUGUCUGCCCAACUUUAUCCGCACAAUACCCACAAUUUAUAUGGAGUAGGGAUAACAAGAAUGAACACAAGCCCAAACCUUUCGCUGUCAUGGCUGGCAAGAAAUUAAAGUCGUGUUGGUCCUUGGCUUUUAUGGGCCCAUGCUGAAUUGAAGUUGUACCGACUAAUCUCGAGGACCACUCGUCAAUACGAGAUACCAAGGGCAUUAAAGAUGGGUCUUUGGCUCCAUUGGUGGUGUGGCCCACUCUAAUACUCUCAACUGAAAUUAAUGCAUGCUUCGACGCAAUCCACAAGAUACAGUAGGUCCAAUACACAUAAAGGACCAUAGAGAACAAAUAUGCCUUGGUACAAUCUGAAGGAAAUUUACAGUUAACUGCAAGAGCGAGCGGGUUGUGUGGUCCAAUUGCGAGAUUUCAAUAUCCGGUUAGUUUUACCACAAAAUUCCGCAUAAGAAUUAGAAUUUACGUGAUCAUGUAUUGGCUAGAUCUGAUUAUAUAAGUUUUGAAACUAUAAACUCUGUUUUAUUUUUGCUCGACAGAAAUAUUUUCAGAAUAUGCUGGGACUGUUAAUUCAUUCAAAAAAGAAAAAAAAGCACUGGGAUGCAAAAGGAAUGAGAAAAAACAAAGUUUGUUUUCUUAAUACAGGUAAUAUCCACUACGUCAGAUUACAAAACUUUGGUUAUCCAAGUCUUCUCUCCACGUUGCUCAUUUAGUCUUCUGAAUGAGUUAAUUAAGCGCAGUACCAUUAUCUGUCUCCAAUCCAGUCUGCCUAGCUUGACACCAACCCUCCAACAGUUUGAAUAUCCUUAUCUGUUGCUGGGACCAGGCUUUUCAUGGCGAAUUUCAGUAAUCACUAAUCCAGCAUCAUGUCCAAUCACAACUCUGCAACAGUAAGAUCAUUUCAAAAAGAACUCUGAAUUAAAUAAAGAAUGCAGAGCACAUCCUUAAUGCAUAGUGCAUCAUACAUCUUUGUAGUCACAGAAGAAGAAAAAAACAUGCCAGCUACAAAUGUUAAAAAGAGUUCAUAUGGUAAGGUGUGAUGACAGUUUUUACACAAAUAGACAAUUGCAGCAAAGGCAGAUCUUCUACUUUAAAACUCAAGAACUGAGUUAACAAAUUUGAGGAAAAGAUAAAUUUUAAUUUCAACAAAUUUAUCAAAAUUGAUGUUUUCAGUCAAGAUUAUUUUGAUUUACACAAUUGCACUUGCAGAAGUUUUAUCAGGGAAGCAGUAAUAUUCCCAACAAUCUAACAUCAAGAUGAAUACCGUUUUAAUUACUCACCGUUUUGAGCCCUUCAAACAAAUUAUAGCAGUAACUUGUCCGAGCUCAAAGUCCAGUACACCCUCAAGCCUAGAAGAUUAUGAAAAACAAUGUCAUCUCUGAAACUUUCGGACAGAAAAAACAUGGCAAGAUCACAUCUAAAUCCUAGAAGUUAUGUGUUGGGCGCAGUUAGAUGUACUUACUUGAAGGUUAUGGAGUUCCACAGACGAACUGUCUCAUCAUUUGAACCUGUAAGUAGUAUUGGAAGAUCUGGAUGGGAACAAACACAGGUAAUGCAAUCCGUAUGUCCUUCAAGUGUUUGAACACAAGUCCUUCUCUGGCAAUCCCAGAUCUGACAUAACAAGAUGAAUUGCAUUGCAAUAAUAUUUCCAAAAAAAUGAUCUCAACUCCUAUGAAAAUAUUCUUCUUUAGUGAAGAUGCCUUACCUUGGCUGUUUUGUCCCAGGAACCAGUUAUCAUGUACAGUUGAUUGCCUCGAGUAAAGUAAUCCAAGCAACUCACUAUAUAUCCGUGCCCAGACAAUGUGAAUUCAUGACGGGAAGAACGGAUAUUCCAAACCUGUAUUUUUUUUUCAUUAACAAAAGUAUACAUAUGUUCGUGUUAAUAACCUACACUCUAAAAUUGUGCUUACCAAAUUGACUGGAGCUAAACGAAAAUAAGAAAUAAAAAUUCAUUGUACCUGUGCAUCCUUCAAGCUCGCAACAGCAAAUUUAUGUGUAUCUUUUGGGUUAAAUUUUAUUUGAUAUGCUAGGCCAUGGAGGUCAAAUGUCUUAAUGCACUCCCAGCCCUUGUUCCAGUCCCACAGCUUGAUCUGGUCUUGUGAGCCUAUUGACAGUAGGUAAGGCUCAGUUGGAUGGACAUCCAAAGUUGUGAUGUUCCAUACAUGAGCUUUGAAUCUCUUCACUUGCUUUACUGGGGACUCAUAUGUGUAAACUCUUAUGAAACCAUCUUGAUGUCCAACCACAAACCAUUGC